rnacentral:rRNA from 1 species
UAGCUACAGGCUUAACACAUGCAAGUCGAGGGGCAGCAUGGUCUUAGCUUGCUAAGGCCGAUGGCGACCGGCGCACGGGUGAGUAACACGUAUCCAACCUGCCGUCUACUCUUGGACAGCCUUCUGAAAGGAAGAUUAAUACAAGAUGGCAUCAUGAGUCCGCAUGUUCACAUGAUUAAAGGUAUUCCGGUAGACGAUGGGGAUGCGUUCCAUUAGAUAGUAGGCGGGGUAACGGCCCACCUAGUCUUCGAUGGAUAGGGGUUCUGAGAGGAAGGUCCCCCACAUUGGAACUGAGACACGGUCCAAACUCCUACGGGAGGCAGCAGUGAGGAAUAUUGGUCAAUGGGCGAGAGCCUGAACCAGCCAAGUAGCGUGAAGGAUGACUGCCCUAUGGGUUGUAAACUUCUUUUAUAAAGGAAUAAAGUCGGGUAUGGAUACCCGUUUGCAUGUACUUUAUGAAUAAGGAUCGGCUAACUCCGUGCCAGCAGCCGCGGUAAUACGGAGGAUCCGAGCGUUAUCCGGAUUUAUUGGGUUUAAAGGGAGCGUAGAUGGAUGUUUAAGUCAGUUGUGAAAGUUUGCGGCUCAACCGUAAAAUUGCAGUUGAUACUGGAUAUCUUGAGUGCAGUUGAGGCAGGCGGAAUUCGUGGUGUAGCGGUGAAAUGCUUAGAUAUCACGAAGAACUCCGAUUGCGAAGGCAGCCUGCUAAGCUGCAACUGACAUUGAGGCUCGAAAGUGUGGGUAUCAAACAGGAUUAGAUACCCUGGUAGUCCACACGGUAAACGAUGAAUACUCGCUGUUUGCGAUAUACUGCAAGCGGCCAAGCGAAAGCGUUAAGUAUUCCACCUGGGGAGUACGCCGGCAACGGUGAAACUCAAAGGAAUUGACGGGGGCCCGCACAAGCGGAGGAACAUGUGGUUUAAUUCGAUGAUACGCGAGGAACCUUACCCGGGCUUAAAUUGCAGAUGAAUUACGGUGAAAGCCGUAAGCCGCAAGGCAUCUGUGAAGGUGCUGCAUGGUUGUCGUCAGCUCGUGCCGUGAGGUGUCGGCUUAAGUGCCAUAACGAGCGCAACCCUUGUUGUCAGUUACUAACAGGCUUCGCUGAGGACUCUGACAAGACUGCCAUCGUAAGAUGUGAGGAAGGUGGGGAUGACGUCAAAUCAGCACGGCCCUUACGUCCGGGGCUACACACGUGUUACAAUGGGGGGUACAGAGGGCCGCUACCACGCGAGUGGAUGCCAAUCCCCAAAACCUCUCUCAGUUCGGACUGGAGUCUGCAACCCGACUCCACGAAGCUGGAUUCGCUAGUAAUCGCGCAUCAGCCACGGCGCGGUGAAUACGUUCCCGGGCCUUGUACACACCGCCCGUCAAGCCAUGGGAGCCGGGGGUACCUGAAGUGCGUAACCGCGAGGAGCGCCCUAGGGUAAAACUGGUGACUGGGGCUAAGUCAUAAC